CGGCAGGGCCCGCUCGGAAGGAUGCGCGGCUCGGAAGGAUGCGCGGCUCGGAAGGACGCGCUGCGCGUCCAGAUACAAUUGUCUCCUCCAGCUGCUGAGCUACUUUAGACUACGUUGUCAUCUGCUUCUUCAGGCACUAAAGACAAGAAGACUCUCACAGAGGUAGAGAUAUUUCACAGGAUGGAGAGAGAUUGCUCCACUUCAUGCAGCAGAACCCAGAAGUUCUACACCAGGUCACUCAGAGCAUGCUGGAGAGAUGUGGCCAAAGCUCUGCACUGCAAAGGGGCCUCCAAUCCCAAGGGUGUGGAUAUGAUUUGACAAGGACUUUGGAAACGGAGAACUGACUGAUAAACCCUCUUGGAAAGUGCCAGGACCCUGUUAUAUUGUUAGAGAGAUUUUUUACUCUUGUGAAAACUAUUUUUAAGAUAUUUUCUUCAUUUUUCUAUCUCUAGCCUAAAUGUAAGGAUUUAUAAUAGUGAAAACAAUGGAAAACCAGCCUUACUUUGAAGAAUGUUUUCAGCAUUUCUUAUCAAAAUUUAUAAUCCUGUUGUUUUCGCUUUAUGAAACAGUGUAAAAAUAGUGUAUAACUAGAGAAAAAAGGAUAUGUGUUCCUUCUGAAUUUGUGUCAGUUCACGAUUCUCAGUUCUGUACAUAAUAGUAAAUAAUAUCUCAUCAGUUCAAACCUCUAAGCUCACUCUAGAAGACACAUUUGUUUGAAAAUGAGAUGAAAGCCAGUACAAACUUUAUAUGACACCUUUUCAAACUAUUUUUCUGCAAUAUGUUCUAUAUUUCUUUGUAGCACAGGUGGUUAAUGACAAUGAGGACCACAAAGAAGACUGAAAACAAGCAUUUUUAGGCUAUAAGUAUAGCAAGAAAAUUGAAUGUUGCACAGAGUGGAAUAAGAGAGGAUGGAGCAUGACUUAGUGAAGUACUGAUGUGUUAUUUCACAAGAACACAUUUUCCAGGUCUUUAGAAUCAGGAAAAAAAGAACCACAGAAAAAAAUGGUGUUAAAGCCCUUUACAAAGCAUAAAGUUUAUCCAAAACUGCAGAAAAAAAAAAAAAGAGACUUACACUGGGGAGCAGUGGGUGUCCUGUGCUGGGCAGGAGGGGCUCUGCUGGCUGGGGAGAUGCAAAAUGAAUUGAAGGAAGACCUAAUAAAAAUCAGAACCUCUUAAACCAUAA